GGCUGAUGGGAUUCAGCUGGUUUUCCUGGAUCUUCUGUGAAUGCCUUGUUCCACGGACCGGUCGUCGAUGCACUCGAGGUGCACCGCAUUGACGAGCGGCAGUAGCAGGAUGCAAUCGGCGCGGCCGAGCUGGCAGCGAAGCCGGUUCUCGGUGAGCCAUUCACGCCGAAUGAGGGCGGUCAAGAGCCGGCUGCAUACGUUCGAUAUAUUCGCUACGCGCACGAUCAAACUGUGUAACGAUGCCGAGUGUGUCCGGCCAUCGCGACUAGGAAGUUAAGUUGCGUCGUCUAUUGUGACACCUUUUCAUCAACAACUGGCAUGACUAUCGGCGCACGGUCGGUGGCUCUAGCGAAGGGGAGGGUGCGUUCCAAUCGGCUGGCAGGACACAGAUCGGAUCGGUUAGGACAACGAUCGGCAUAGUACGGCUCGCGACCCGCAUGUGGCUAUUUGUUGACUAGUUGCCUCUUCAAGUGCAAAUCUACGAACAUGUUUAGAAGAUUUGGCUCUUUCGGUCGCAACGUUUGCGGAGUCGCUGGGGAUAUUGGAUUGUAAGGAAUGAAUAUACUGUCCGCAGGAACCAGAUGAUGACAUCACCAAGGAGCUAAUGCGCUAAAGCUUAUCAGGAGGAGGCGAGAAUGGUUUGAUGUUUUGGCACAGCUCCCACGUAUCAUCCAUACCACACCAAAUCAUUAUGGCGCAGCCGUGAAUAUGUACAACGUCAUCCUGCUCGGGUAGGAUGGUGACGGUCUCCCGCUCGGUAUAUCUUGACGGCAGUAUAACGCAA